CAUAAAAGUGCUUUCCAGAGGUGUAAGAAGUGAUAAGAUCUUGUACUUGAGUAAAAGUACAAGUACCAGAGUGUAGAAAUACUCAAGUAUAAGUACUAAAGUAUUAGCAUCAGAAUAGUACCUGAAUAACUAUAAGCUGGUUUUUUUGCUUUCAUUUCAGACCUCGUGUUUUAGUGUGCUCUGGAGGCACACAGAACAAUAUAGAGGAGUACCCGCAGUUGAAGGGUUGGCUACCAGGUGAGUUCAGAUACCACGUGUGCCAGUAUGAAGAGGUGGUUUCACUGGGGGACCACACUGGUUUUGAGGCCACUUUGAGGCUGGAUGUCCACACUGUGGAACAGGUCAAGGAGUGGGUACAAAAGCUGAAGGGGUCAUCAGGGGUGACAUGGAGGGUGGAUGUUACCCGACCCAGGUUGGGGAAGCGGGUGCUUUUCAAAGCAAGUUAUAAGUGUCAGCAUAGGGUGAACCCGAGAGCAGCCAAAAGCAGCAAGAACACCUGCUGUCAAGCAAAAAUGCACACGACACUCAAGAGUACUCGUGGGGAAAUGAAGACCGAAGACCCACACAUGCCUGACCUACCAUUUAAGGUUAUUCUAAUAAACAGGCACAACCACAAUCUUUUUG